rnacentral:tRNA from 1 species
CGCGGCGGACGCGCGGGCGCGGGCGGCUUCAGGCCGCCGGGUUCGCUGACGGACAGAUCGACGCCCCAUUCGUCGAGCCACGC